AAGCCUGUGAUGAUAACAUAUUAACAAUCUCAAGUUACCAUCUUUUGGGACUUAAUGGCCUUUUGCCUUGCUGAUAUUAUUCUGCAAUUCUGAGGCUU